GGAUUCCCCUAGUAACUGCGAGUGAAGAGGGAAAAGCUCAAAUUUAAAAUCUGGCAGUCUUUGAUUGUCCGAGUUGUAAUUUAGAGAAGUGUUACCCGUGCUGGACCGUGUACAAGUCUCCUGGAAUGGAGCGUCAUAGAGGGUGAGAAUCCCGUCUUUGACACGGACUCCCAGUGCAUUGUGGUAUGCUCUCAAAGAGUCGAGUUGUUUGGGAAUGCAGCUCUAAAUGGGUGGUAAAUUCCAUCUAAAGCUAAAUAUUGGCGAGAGACCGAUAGCGAACAAGUACCGUGAGGGAAAGAUGAAAAGAACUUUGGAAAGAGAGUUAAACAGUACGUGAAAUUGCUGAAAGGGAAACGCUUGAAGUCAGUCGCGUUGGCUAGGGAUCAACCUUGCUUUAGUGGGGUGUACUUCCUAGUUGACGGGUCAGCAUCAGUUUUGACCACUGGAAAAAGGCUUUGGGAAUGUGGCAACUCCGGUUGUGUUAUAGCCCAUUGUCGUAUACAGUGGUUGGGACUGAGGAACUCAGCACGCCGCAAGGCCGGGAUUCGUCCACGUUCGUGCUUAGGAUGCUGGCAUAAUGGCUUUAAGCGACCCGU
rnacentral:sRNA from 2 species